AUUGAACGCUGGCGGCAUGCCUUACACAUGCAAGUCGAACGGUAGAGGGGGCAACCCCUUGAGAGUGGCGAACGGGUGAGUAAUGCAUCGGAACGUGCCCAGUCGUGGGGGAUAACGCAGCGAAAGCUGUGCUAAUACCGCAUACGAUCUCUGGAUGAAAGCGGGGGACCUUGUAGCAAUACGGGGCCUCGCGCGAUUGGAGCGGCCGAUGUCAGAUUAGGUAGUUGGUGGGGGUAAAGGCUCACCAAGCCAACGAUCUGUAGCUGGUCUGAGAGGACGACCAGCCACACUGGGACUGAGACACGGCCCAGACUCCUACGGGAGGCAGCAGUGGGGAAUUUUGGACAAUGGGCGCAAGCCUGAUCCAGCAAUGCCGCGUGCAGGAAGAAGGCCUUCGGGUUGUAAACUGCUUUUGUACGGAACGAAAAGGUCUGGGUUAAUACCCUGGGCACAUGACGGUACCGUAAGAAUAAGCACCGGCUAACUACGUGCCAGCAGCCGCCGUAA
rnacentral:rRNA from 1 species